AUUGAACGCUGGCGGAAUGCUUUACACAUGCAAGUCGAGCGGCAGCGCGGGGCAACCUGGCGGCGAGCGGCGAACGGGUGAGUAAUACAUCGGAACGUACCCAGUUGUGGGGGAUAGCCCGGCGAAAGCCGGAUUAAUACCGCAUACGACCUGAGGGAGAAAGUGGGGGAUCGCAAGACCUCACGCAGUUGGAGCGGCCGAUGGCGGAUUAGCUAGUUGGUGGGGUAAAGGCCUACCAAGGCGACGAUCCGUAGCGGGUCUGAGAGGACGACCCGCCACACUGGAACUGAGACACGGUCCAGACUCCUACGGGAGGCAGCAGUGGGGAAUUUUGGACAAUGGGCGCAAGCCUGAUCCAGCCAUUCCGCGUGAGUGAAGAAGGCCUUCGGGUUGUAAAGCUCUUUCGGCAGGAACGAAACGGUGGGCUCUAACAUAGCCUGCUAAUGACGGUACCUGAAGAAGAAGCACCGGCUAACUACGUGCCAGCCGCCGCUGUAACAC
rnacentral:rRNA from 1 species